rnacentral:rRNA from 1 species
CCUACGGGAGGCAGCAGUAGGGAAUAUUGCGCAAUGGGGGAAACCCUGACGCAGCAAUGCCACGUGAGUGAGGAAGGCCCUUGGGUUGUAAAGCUCUGUCCUAUAGGAAGAAUUGCGUAGCGGUUAAUACCCGCGACGUUUGACGGUACUAUAGAAGAAAGCACCGGCUAACUCCGUGCCAGCAGCCGCGGUAAU